rnacentral:snRNA from 1 species
UUUAACAUAGGAGAGAUUGUA